rnacentral:rRNA from 1 species
UGUCUCAGUUCGGAUUGGAGUCUGCAACCCGACUCCACGAAGUUGGAUUCGCUAGUAAUCGCGCAUCAGCCAUGGCGCGGUGAAUACGUUCCCGGGCCUUGUACACACCGCCCGUCAAGCCAUGGGAGCCGGGGGCGCCUGAAGUCCGGGACCGCGAGGACCGGCCUAGGGCGAAACUGGUAACUGGGGCUAAGUCGUAACAAGGUAUC